UCGGGAAUUUUGGGCAAUGGGCGAAAGCCUGACCCAGCAACGCCGCGUGAGGGGUGAAGUAUUUCGGUAUGUAAACCUCGAAAGAACGGGAAGAAUAAAUGACGGUACCAUUUAUAAGCUCCGGCUAACUACGUGCCAGCAGCCGCGGUAAUACGUAGGGAGCAAGCGUUGUUCGGAUUUACUGGGCGUAAAGGGCGCGUAGGCGGCGCGGUAAGUCACUUGUGAAAUCUCUGAGCUUAACUCAGAACGGCCAAGUGAUACUGCUGUGCUAGAGUGCGGAAGAGGCAACCGGAAUUCUUGGUGUAGCGGUGAAAUGCGUAGAUAUCAAGAGGAACACCUGAGGCGAAGGCGGGUUGCUGGGCCGACACUGACGCUGAUGCGCGAAAGCCAGGGGAGCAAACG
rnacentral:rRNA from 1 species